AGCGAACGCUGGCGGCAGGCCUAACACAUGCAAGUCGAACGGAUCCUUCGGGAUUAGUGGCGGACGGGUGAGUAACACGUGGGAACGUGCCCUUUGGUUCGGAACAACUCAGGGAAACUUGAGCUAAUACCGGAUGUGCCCUUCGGGGGAAAGAUUUAUCGCCAUUGGAGCGGCCCGCGUCUGAUUAGCUAGUUGGUGAGGUAAAGGCUCACCAAGGCGACGAUCAGUAGCUGGUCUGAGAGGAUGAUCAGCCACAUUGGGACUGAGACACGGACCAAACUCCUACGGGAGGCAGCAGUGGGGGAUCUUGCGCAAUGGGCGAAAGCCUGACGCAGCCAUGCCGCGUGAAUGAUGAAGGUCUUAGGAUUGUAAAAUUCUUUCACCGGGGACGAUAAUGACGGUACCCGGAGAAGAAGCCCCGGCUAACUUCGUGCCAGCCGCCGCGGUAAGAC
rnacentral:rRNA from 1 species